UACAGAGGGGGCAAGCGUUGUUCGGAAUUACUGGGCGUAAAGGGCGCGUAGGCGGCCUGUUAAGUCGAACGUGAAAUCCCCGGGCUCAACCCGGGAACUGCGUCCGAUACUGGCAGGCUUGAAUUCGGGAGAGGGAUGCGGAAUUCCAGGUGUAGCGGUGAAAUGCGUAGAUAUCUGGAGGAACACCGGUGGCGAAGGCGGCAUCCUGGACCGAGAUUGACGCUGAGGCGCGAAAGCGUGGGGAGCGAACAGG
rnacentral:rRNA from 1 species